rnacentral:rRNA from 1 species
UACGUAGGUGGCGAGCGUUGUCCGGAAUUACUGGGCGUAAAGCGCGUUCAGGCGGUUUGACAAGUCGGGCAUGAAAUCUCUCGGCUCAACCGGGAGAGGUUAUCCGAUACUGUCAGACUUGAGGGCAGUAGAGGGUGGUGGAAUUCCGGGUGUAGUGGUGAAAUGCGUAGAUAUCCGGAGGAACACCAGUGGCGAAAGCGGCCACCGGGACUGUACCUGACGCUCAAACGCGAAAGCUAGGGGAGCGAACGGG